rnacentral:rRNA from 1 species
ACUGUUGCACACACCUUUGCCCCCGUCCUCCCCCCGCCCGAUCCCCCGCCCCUCCGUUUUCGGCGCGGCCGCGAGGAGAGUUCGUCGGCGGCCGCGAUGAGGUCGGCCCUGAGCCGCCUGAUCCGUUCCUCCUGCUCCGUCUCGUCCUCCCGUCUCAGCUCUCCAGUUUUGUUGAAGAACGGCAAGGCCUUCUCGAGCGAUGCCACGCCCAGGGAUUCCGGGCGGGUCGACGAGCCUUUCAAAGUCGAGGAGGCAGAACCCGUGAAGGUGCCGCCGCCACCGCCUUCUCCUGAUAAGCUGCUUGUGCUAGGUGGAAGUGGCUUCGUUGGUUCACAUGUUUGCAAGGAGGCUUUGGAGAGGGGAUUUGUUGUCUCUAGUCUAAAUAGAUCUGGAAAGCCAUCGACAAGUGAAUCUUGGGCUGACAAAGUUAUAUGGAACCAAGGCAAUCUUCUUGAACCUGCUUCACUGGAGGAUAGUAUGGAUGGUGUCUCUGCUGUUGUAUCCUGUGUUGGAGGCUUUGGGUCAAAUUCUCAAAUGUUCAAACUGAAUGGGACUGCAAACAUCAAUGCCAUCAGGGUUGCAGCUGAGAAAGGCAUAAAAAGAUUUGUGUAUGUGUCAGCUGCAGACUUUGGUUUAGUGAAUUACUUAUUGCAAGGUUAUUAUGAGGGCAAGAGAGCUGCUGAAGCUGAACUGCUGUCGAAGUUUACCUAUGGAGGAGUGAUACUGCGGCCUGGUUUUAUUCAUGGAACUCGUCGAGUGGGUAGCGUGAACAUACCCCUUGGACUUGUGGGUUCACCUAUGCAAAUGGUGCUCCAAAAUGCAAAACCAUUAACCAGAUUGCCACUUGUCGGCUCGAUGCUAACUCCUCCAGUGAGUGCUACCUCGGUAGCGAAGGUCGCUGUAAGAGCAGCGACGGAUCCGGUGUUCCCUCCUGGUAUCGUCGAUGUGUAUGGCAUCAUGCGUUACAGCGAGCAGAAGUAAGCGCAUGCUUGUACAGGACGAUAAGGCGUGUCUCCACCCAUCUUUUUUACCUGGUUUUUCCUAUUUGCUCUAAAUGUGUAAGCAGACAUCACAAGGCCAUGAGGCCUCAGCUACGGCCGCAGAUUCUCUGACAGUUCUAUCCUGGCGUGGCCCUGUUUGCCUGAUCUACUUACUAGGCAAGGAUGCUCAAUAAAGAAGCAGUUAACCUCGAGUUUCCUGUUGGAAACUGUUUUUACAUGCUUGUUGCUUGUAAGUGUUCCUUUUAGUUACUGUAGAGAGCAGGUUAAGAUUUGUAACUUCGAGUUUAUGAUAAGGAAAACUCUAUUCCUGGUCGUGUACCGAUUGUGG